rnacentral:rRNA from 1 species
UGCGUAGGUGGCGCUGUAAGUCAGGUGUGAAAUUUCGGAGCUUAACUCCGAAACUGCAUUUGAUACUGCGGUGCUUGAGGACUGGAGAGGAGACUGGAAUUCACGGUGUAGCAGUGAAAUGUGUAGAGAUCGUGAGGAAGACCAGUGGCGAAGGCGGGUCUCUGGACAGUUCCUGACACUGAGGCACGAAGGCCAGGGGAGCAAACG